CGGGUGAGUAACGCGUGGGGAACCUACCUUUUCGUGGGGAAUAACGAUCCGAAAGGAUUGGUAAUACCGCAUGAGACCCAGGCCUGGGAUGGUUUGGGUGAAAGCCGGGGAUCGAAAGACCUGGCGCGAGAAGAGGGUCCUGCGUCUGAUUAGCUAGUUGGUGGGGUAACGGCCCACCAAGGCGUCGAUCAGUAGCCGGCCUGAGAGGGUGAUCGGCCACACUGGAACUGAGACACGGUCCAGACUCCUACGGGAGGCAGCAGUGGGGAAUUUUGCGCAAUGGGCGAAAGCCUGACGCAGCAACGCCGCGUGGGUGAUGAAGGUCUUCGGAUUGUAAAACCCUGUCGUCAGGGAUGAAGGUUGUGGGGUGAAUAGCCUUGCAGCUUGACGGUACCUGGAGAGGAAGCCCCGGCUAACUCUGUGCCAGCAGCCGCGGUAAUACAGAGGGGGCAAGCGUUAUUCGGAAUUAUUGGGCGUAAAGGGCGCGUAGGCGGUGAUUUAAGUCGGAUGUGUAAUCCCCGGGCUCAACCUGGGAACUGCAUCCGAGACUGGAUUGCUAGAGUGCUGGAGAGGGUGGUGGAAUUCCUCGUGUAGCGGUGAAAUGCGUAGAGAUGAGGAGGAACACCAGUGGCGAAGGCGGCCACCUGGACAGUAACUGACGCUGAGGCGCGAAAGUGUGGGGAGCAAACAGGAUUAGAUAACCCUGGUAGUCCACGCUGUAAACGAUGAACACUUGGUGUGGUGGGAGUUGACCUCGCCGUGCCGUACCUAACUCGAAAAAGUGUUCCGCCUGGGGAGAAC
rnacentral:rRNA from 1 species